UACAUCUUGGUAUAUGAGGUACGUGAAUUUUUGAUGUUCAAGGUAAUAGUUUGAUUCUAUUAGGUGUAA
rnacentral:tRNA from 1 species